UCCUUUCACGUAUGAAGGAAUCAAAGUAGAAGGCCCAGGCGGCCAGGAGCUCUGCCCUCCAUCCCGCUCUCAUCCCUCUCUCUCGGGCGUGAGCUUAGGCGGACCAAAAAACUCCCUCCCCCUCUCGGUGCCGUUCGCGAAGCCUAGGAGAAGAGCUGGACUCCCUCCCUUCCUCUCUCGUGAUCUCUCCCAUUUGACCCCAAACCGAAACUGGACUCUCUGGUUUGCAAAGCCCGGGAGCAAGUUGAAGCCGCAUCCUGCCUCAUUCUCUAGUCCGAGCAGCCCUACAGCCCAACCUUUCUCUCUUCUUCAGCUCGAAGAGUCCAUGGAAGAUUCAAAACCUGACUCCUGUCCUACUACAAUCGUCCGUCCCUAGCAGCUGAACUUGACCUGGAGUCCCGAACCCAUUCUCGAUAUAGUUCCUCUCACGAGCAGCUUUUAAUCUCCUUCUAAACCUACAUCUCCAUCUUCUUUGCAUUCUCUGCUUGGUAAGAAAUGUGAGCAGGAUUAUUUCUAUUGCUGAGAUGGAAUAGCAUUAGUUUGCUCUUGCUGCAUUGUUGAAAUCAGGAAACCAUGGUUUGAAGCUUUCGUUCCAUCAAGAUAGAACCUAUGUAGGAAGAAAAUGCUGAGAUUAUCUUUCCUUCUUUCAGUUAUGAAUAACAAUGGAUUGUUCCUGUUCAAACUUUUUUUUUUUACUUCAAAGGUUUUGGGAGGUUUGAAAUGCGUGUAAUCUUUAAGGAGGUAUAAUCAUUCUUAGUCUUUGGAGCUAUCUUUUGUUACAAUAAGGGAUAUGAUCAUGAAACAUUUUCUCAAGUCUUUAAGCUAUUGAGUUCUGA